rnacentral:rRNA from 1 species
AUUGAACGCUGGCGGCGAUGCCUUACACAUGCAAGUCGAACGGUAACAGGUCUUCGGACGCUGACGAGUGGCGAACGGGUGAGUAAUGCGUGGGUAACCUGCCUUAUACAGGGGGAUAACAGUUAGAAAUGGCUGCUAAUACCGCAUAAGCGCACAGGGCCGCAUGGCCCGGUGUGAAAAACUCCGGUGGUAUAAGAUGGACCCGCGUCUGAUUAGCUGGUUGGUGGGGUAACGGCCCACCAAGGCGACGAUCAGUAGCCGGCCUGAGAGGGUGAACGGCCACAUUGGGACUGAGACACGGCCCAG